GACGAACGCUGGCGGCGUGCUUAACACAUGCAAGUCGAACGGAAAGGCCCUGCUUUUGUGGGGUGCUCGAGUGGCGAACGGGUGAGUAACACGUGAGUAACCUCCCCUUGCCUUUGGGAUAACUUCAGGAAACUGGGGCUAAUACCGGAAAGGAGCUCCGGCGGCAUGGUGGGGGUGGGAAAGUUUCGGCGGUUGGGGAUGGACUCGCGGCUUAUCAGCUUGUUGGUGGGGUAGUGGCUUACCAAGGCUUUGACGGGUAGCCGGCCUGAGAGGGUGACCGGCCACAUUGGGACUGAGAUACGGCCCAGACUCCUACGGGAGGCAGCAGUGGGGAAUAUUGCACAAUGGGCGGAAGCCUGAUGCAGCAACGCCGCGUGCGGGAUGACGGCCUUCGGGUUGUAAACCGCUUUCGCCUGUGACGAAGCGUGAGUGACGGUAAUGGGUAAAGAAGCACCGGCUAACUACGUG
rnacentral:rRNA from 1 species